CCGAUGAUGGAUCGAACUUUGUCCUGAGCACUAAAACGAAUUUUAUAUUCUCUGACUAUCAAUGUAUAACGUAUCAAUACUGAAGUGAUACACCAAACGGGACAGGGAGCUUCCGACUAAAAGCGAUUUCAAACUUUAUUUGCAUCUUGUAAGGCAGCCUAGCAUGAUGUGACUCACCAUUGCUAUGGAUAUUGUUGCAAGGUCAGGACUGAUAAUGGAAGCUCUGUGCUCUUUUUGUUUCCUGGUGUCCAAACAUCUCAUUUUUCAGCCCUGCAGUAAACAUUUAGAAUCAUACAGGUUAAAUUAGCGUUUGAUAUUUUUAUUACCUAUUUAAACCAGGAUGAAGAACUGAGUUAGAUGUUCUUACUUUGGUUUAACAGUUGAGGAAAGGGUAAUAAGUAAUCUGACUAACAAACAGCCAACGAUUUAACAGAUUUGCCUGAGGGCACAAUAAUAAACAGACAAGCUCUUAGUCAUCCCCUGCAUCUCUAGUCUCUCCCGUUGUAAUGGUUUCUGGGUGCCAACAUGUAACAUCUCUACUCUUGCAGCUCUCCUUUACAGAGCAGAGAUUACUUAGACUGCAUGUGAGGAGGCUGCAGGUGCUGCUAAGGGUGUCUGAGGGACCGUGGCACAGGGCAGCAGUCGGCCUUGAGCCAUCUCUCAGCCACUGGGCCAUCACCCUGGGUGAACCAUCCUCUUGCCUGCGACGUCCCAUGGGGCUACCUGUGAUCUCAAACAUCAUCUUUCUCUUACCAGUCUCCGUUUUGAAUGUGGCAUUACCUUCUUUCCUGCUGCUGAAACCGUAAGCUGCCAAACCCUUUCAGUUGCUUCAUGAGGAGCAGCUGAAGCGGGCUCCCCCUCCAGCUGCGACAUGACCCCCCCGAUCGCCCCUGGUACUUCCUGCCUGACAGGCUUCCCCGCUAUUUUUGUCAAACAAAUCUGCCUUUCCUUUAAGGCUACGAGUUCCAAGUCCCAAAGCUGACACCACCCGCCGCAUACCACAGGGUAAGGGCGGUCUGCUCUCCCUACCUCCCCUCCUCAGCCCCGCGCGCACGCGCGCCCCCCCCACCCGCGAGGGCGGGCCGCUCGGAGAUGGCCGGUAACCCGGAUGCAGCUACUCGACAAGAUGGCGGCGAGGGUGGCGGGCGGCUUCUUGUAGCGCCCGGGAGGGGUCCUCGCUCCGCCAUGGCGGAUCUGGGCCGGCAGUUGCAGGAGUACCUCGCGCAGUCAAAGGCCGCUGCCACCGGCAGCUCCACUGCGGCCCCCGCGCCGCCGCGCGCCGGCUGCUCGCAGGAGGAGGCGGGGAGCGACGGCUUGAGGGCCUGGUUGGGCCCGCUGAACCCCUUCCAACCGGGCCGCGGUGCCCCCCCCGCCGCGGCGGUGCCCGGGUCGGUGUUGAGCUCAGGGUCGAACUGGCCGUGGGCGACCGAGGCGGACCCGUGCCUGCCGGGUCUGUCGCGCUGGCAGCGGCUGGCGGGGAGCGGGCUGUGCCUGCUGCUGGCCGCCCUCUGCUUCGGGCUGGCCGCGCUGUACGCCCCGCUGCUGCUGCUCCGCGCCCGCAAGUUCGCGCUGCUCUGGUCCCUCGGCUCCCUCUGCGCCCUGGGCGCCGCCGCCCUGCUGCGCGGGCCCUCCCGCCUGCUGCGGGAGCCCAACCGCGGCUUCCUCCUCUAUCUCGGCGCCCUCGGCGGCACCCUCUACGCGGCGCUGGGGCUGCGCAGCACCCUCCUGACGGCGCUGGGCGCUGCCCUCCAGCUGGGCGCUGCCGCCGCCGCGCUUCUGGUCGCGCUACCCGGGGGCGCCGCCGGCCUGCGGCGCCUGGGCAGCCUCCUCAGCGCUGCGCUGCGCCGCCGCGGCAAAGCCCUGCCGGUGUGAGCCCGGUGCCGCCGCCACGGGGGGAGGACCGGCCGCAGGCCGGCGGGACUCGGACGAAAGGACUGAGAGACUCAAGCUGGCGCCAGCCGAGGCGCGAAAUCACCUCUCCGAGGACGGGGAUGAGGAUGGCGCCGCCUCAGACAGCUUCUCUUGACCUCCUUCGAGUCCCUUGCUGGGUUUUCCUCGCCGAUUCUUGAGCAAGACAAGGAGCGGCUGGCACCCGGGAACGGCAGCAGUGACUCUAAACUCGUUUUGCUGUGUUCAGGUGUAGUGGUGUGGGUGCCAGCUUGCUGAGCCGUCCCCGAGCACGGGAUUUUGCCUUAUUGCAGAGUCAGCUCGGUAGCCAUGGUAUGGAGUCUCUCCUGCUCUGGGUGGGAGCUGGCAGCACCCCCCUUUCCUACCUCCAGUAUAGGACCAUGUGGCUGCUGCAGCCUACUUCAAAACGAUAGAUCCUAACUCCCAGACGUAUACCAGUAGUGACCAAAGCCCUUCCUCAGAGGACGGUAGACUAGCAAGCAGCGGUGAUUUCCCGUGUUUUGGAAUUUUAACGUCAGCACCACUUGUAAUCUGUAGACAGCUGUGGCUAAAGGUGAAAAUGAAAGUCCUCUACACAUGAUAAACCAGAAAACUAGGAAUGAGCUAUUAGUAUUUUAAAGGGUUGAGAUUUCAGGAGGUAGUUCUGUUGCUCCAUGUGAUACACAAGUUUGCCUAAAGACAACCCUCUUUAUAGUUAGAGAUUAAGUGUCUCCACUACAGCCCAGAAGAUGGACAGCAAUCAAGCAAUUCCCUGGGAAUUAAAGGAGAUUAUCUCUGAUACAGUCGACAAUCACUUGAAUGAAGAUUCUGGUUUCCGCCCUCCUUCAAAGCGUGGAAAUUCAUCUGGAGUAGGAAGUAAACCCUUCCGGCCUCCUGAGCAGUAAGAGAUGCAGGGGACAGGAGUGAGAAGCGACAUUGUAUACUGUAAUUUGCCCAAGAAAUAUCUUUGCUUCCUUAUCCUUGCGUUUCAGUGUGGAAUAAUGUUCCCCUCACCUCUAAGAGCACCACGACCUCGCCCCCGAACACCAUGGUCCCUUCCUCUUGAGUUUUCAUCUGGAGAGUCAAAAGUGUCAUCUGGCCCAAAAUCUUCAGGGCCAGGAAAGCCAUCUCUCCCCCUGGGACCCCGGCCCUCAUGUCUCGAGGGUCCUCCUCUUCUGAAGCUACAAGAAAGAACAUGGGACAAGCGUGGUUUUUAGGCAGAAUUUAGAUUGAUGAAUUUGAGUCAGCUUCAGUUUAAUAAUCAACUAAUUCCUGAACUGUUUUACUUAACACUAGAGCACAUACAGCUACUAGAAUAGGAUUUGUAGGUGGAAGACAGUUCAUCUGCCUUCAAGCACUUCGUUUAUUCAUUUUUAUAGUUUUCCCUCAUAUUUCCUUCUGUUGAUUGUGUCAGUUUUUCAUACAAGAAAAAUAUUGUCAAAUAUAUUGUGUUCAUUAAAUGAAAAGGGGGGAAAAACCCAGUCAGUGAGUGAUGACAUAUAAGGUAAGGUAAGGAAAAGUAUAAGUGAAUUGCCCUUAACUGCAGUGGUCUUACUUUCCCCUUCCAUUUUAGUGAUAAAAACAAACUGAAAAAAUACAAUCUAUGAGAGUCAUGGCUAUAACAAAACACUCCAGUAUCUCAUUCCUAUUGAUUUGGGAUUCUUUUGCUAGAACAUUCUCUUUUUUUUCUCCAUUCUUCUAAGUUUACAAUUUUAGCAAAUGAAUCUAGACUGCACUUGGCUCUGUAGGGAUGGUGAUUGCUGAACAGUGUGCACAGUGGCAUUCUACAACCUGAAGAGCAGUUUAUCCAGCUGCAAUAAUGAAGAAUUUUGUUUUGCAAAAUGUAGUUAUGACACUAAAGUUGAUAAUUUCCUUCUAGUAAGCACCAUGGCACCUUCAGUAAUUUGGUAUGAUUGCCUUCUGCAUCAAAUCUUAAAUGAGUAUAGCUCCUCCAGUAUCGCACUGGGGUUUUAACAGAUCUUCAGAGAGAAUUGUUCGUAAUGAACUGGGAGUGCUGUUUCAGGUAAGCCUAUAGAUGGCUGCAUGAAUACUAGCAGUUUUGGUUUUUUACGUUACCAGUGUAAACACUUGGAGUGCUUGUAAAAGUGCAUAUAUAUUCUGCGUAUUAGUGCAACUCCAAAAGUGCGCACUAGCAGCAGUUGUUACGAUUGUCUCAGUUUACAGCCCAGUUUCUGUGCAAGCACAGGUGAGAUGUUUAGGUGGUGCAGGCACACUGGUUCAGGAGUCCUCAACGGUGCGACCCCACACACUGCUCCUGCCCACCCCUCAGUGACAGAACAGAUAUUGUGCAGCACUCUUUGCCCAUUCACACUGAUGCCCCCCGCCUCCCCUCACUUCCCAGUUCCACACUGGCCAAACUGUAACCACCGUAAUACUCAGAUUGUGUUGGCUUUGUGCAACAUCCCCUUCCCCAGCUCAUUAACGACACAGUGCAUCCUAUUACAAGCAAAACUUUAGAUACUUUUAUUUAGAAUUUUAACAACAUUAACCUUUUAAUUACAAAUUUAAAUAUUUUAACAGUAGUCAUAACACAAUACAAUAUUUUUAAACUUUUACAUUUUUUUUUUUUUAAUUAAAAACAAUAGGUCUGUCUCCACCUCCCAGAAAACAAACACAAUACAGAGAGGAGGCUGCUGUGCCUGUAUAGGUACAACAGUGGAUGGAGGGAGUGCUGUGUAUGGACAAUGAACCAUUUUACAUUAACCUGGAUGAUUUUGGGAAACAAACUGAACAGUUUCAGGUACAAAUGGUUCAAAUAACCACAUAGCAAUAUUGUUCAGCCUUGAAACAGCACGGUCCUCUAGAUGUUCUUUAGAGGGCCUCCCAUUUUAAUACUGACAUGGUGUGAUUCUGCGUAGCUUGUAAAUUACCAAGACUUGCAACACAAGGUCCUAUGGCUAGCAGGAAUAGGGCCUUUCCUUUUGUUUCCAGGCAACAUUAUGGACACAGUUUAGUUCUGAAAUCUGUCAUACCUAUACCUGACAUAACCACAACUCCUAAUAUUGUGUUAUGUAUAUCCUUUUUCACUUUUUCGUAUCAGUCACAUGUAAAACCCUGCCUUGCAUAGGGCUCAGUUCCUGUUUGACUGCUCUCAGAUCUUCUUCCUUGAGGCCUAGGACCUUAAUGCACAUAACUACAACACUGUGCAGAUUAGCAGGCAGGAAGAGUCAGAUCUCUGCGGUAGAAGCAUCAUGUUGAUGUGCACAAGGUAGAGUAAGAACAGGACAGGGAUGAAAAGGAUGGGAAAUUAGAGAGAAACCCACAUACACGCACUUCCCUGUCAUGCUUGAUCAAACCAGUUAAAAUCUAAAUUCCAAACCAAGUCAGCUAAAUGAGUGGUUGGGAUUCUUAAGUUCACCUCAGCAUCUGCAGUAAAUGGCACCUAAUUCACCUUCAUUCACAGGAAUUCAUUAAGCUUGCCAGCACAAUAAGCCUUUUAUACCCCUGUGCUGAUUCCUUUUAAACCAAACUCUGUACAAACACUUGUACUCUGACAAAUAGACUCUUCUUAGUUCCUAAGUCAGAUUUACAGGUCACAGGGUUUUUGGACUCUUCCUGAAACCUUUUUAAAAGUCAGGAUCAUCAUCAAAUAUUUUCCAGUCCCUAAGCAUUUCCAAUAUAAGCUUUGAAAAUCUCUACUGAGCUUCUAAAAGUGUUGUCUGCUGUGUCUUUUAGAAUUCUAUAAUGCAGGCCAUUCAGCUUGGAUUCCCUCUAUUUUUACUUUUUUUUAAAUGGCUUUAAUUGUUACCUUUUUUUAGUUACUGUUCAUUUCUUUUCAUACUCUUCACACAAAAGGAAGGUACAUCUUUACAGAGCUAGGUAGAAAACAGCUAAAAGAAGAGCUGUAUAGAUGCAAAGUAAAAGGAAUGUAAGAAAAUUAUUAAAAAGGCAACUAAAACACAGAAAAUUCACAUUAUGUGGAGACCACAAUAUAUUUGUACAAGUACAUGUUCUUAUACAUAUAGAGUUGGUGGUCAGUGAGAGGCUUAGACCUUGGAGGCCAAAUUUAACUCAGUUAAACUAGCAUGAAUCUGGAGCAAUUCUGAUGACAGUUAAUCUUGCUGACUUAGUGUAACUCCUCCAUAUUUAUACUGGUAACUAGAAGCAAAUUCAUCCCUUUGUGAUUUAGUUGGAAAUUGUGAGCAAUGGCAUGGACAUUGCUGUAAGUUAGAUUAUUUUUGAGUUCUUUGCUUGGCAUUAAGAAAUAAGUCAGAAAGAGAAAUAAAAUUUCUACAAGCAAAAACAUGAGAAAAUAGUCUCAACAGUCCAACAGAUGCUGUAGCUCUGCCCCUUAUAUUUGAUAGUAGGGAUCACUGUUCCCACUCCUUACAGGUAUAUUACAUUUCAUUCUACAGUCAUGCUGUAGUUUGUGACUGGAGACAAAGUCUCAAAAUCCACUUCUAGUGUUCAAAAGUUUGUCACUUUAACCUUCAAGUUUCCUCUCAAUUUUCAUCAAAACGGUCUCAAAUCUUCAUCCUGUGUCACUGGAUCUUCUCUACAAAUUUCCUCCCUUCUCUUUACUUACUGUUUAAAGACACGGAAGCUGCUGUGUACAAUGACCAUUUUUCAAGUUUUCUUCUAUUACUGAAUGAUUUUUAUGGACUCUAUACUCAAGGUAUAUUAAAGUUUUCAUUUCCUUA